UUGCUAUUAUUGUAAAUAAUUCAUUAUUAUUAUUAUACUACUACUACUACUACUAUAGAGUUCUUAGUUUUGACUGAGUUUUCAACAACAGUUGUGCUGACUCAGGCAGUUUUCACCAUUAUUCAAAUUCGGUUCCAGCCAAAAAUAAAUUCCCCCUAAAAUGGUCUUUUUUCUUUUUUAUCAAGUAGAUGAUAUAUAUUUCUAAGAAUUUAUCGAGUGUUAAGUGUUUGAAUAACAACAACAACAAUAAUAAUAAUAAUAAUAAUAAUAAUAAAGCUUUUUUAAUGUUUUACGAGAUUUCUAAUAAUGACGACGGCGACCACGAUGAUGAUGGUGAUGAUGACGACCACGAAGACGACCAUGAUGACCACCACGACGAACGGUUACAAUGAUGGUGAUGACGGACGACGCUGACGAUGUUUAAGAUGACAACAAAGAUGAUGAUGCUGAUGAUAAUGAUGAUCAUGAUGAUGCUGAUGAUAAUGAUGAUCACCAAGAUGACAAAGAUACUGACGGUUGUUAUUAUUAUUAUUACGGCGAUGAUAAUGGUGCUGACAUGAUUACCAUUAUUCCGAUGAAGACGAUGCUUGUGGCAGAAACGAUGACAACGGAUCCAGAGAUAUGACGAUGAAGUACCGAGUAGAAAAAAAAAUGGCCAGUUUUCGACACCUGCUCUUCUUCGGUUUCAAAUAUGGUUCCAAAGUUGCCGAAGUCGCUCAAGACAUUUGUGCUGUGGACAAAGAAGGCACUAUUACUAAAAGAAUUCCACGGAAGAGCCAUUCGCAUGAACGUUUUUAGAAUGUCCAGAAAAGUCAUUAUAAACCUUUAUACGUAGGUUGAAAUGAGUCAUUUUCGACUAUACAUCGGUAUUGGGACGAUUUCUUUGGAAGAUAAUGAAAAUGUUUGUCUUGAAAAUAUCAUUCCAGCUUUGUCUUGCACAUCACAUCAAAUGAGAAUGGCGACCACAGACAUCGUUGUCCAGAAAAUUCAUUAGCAUGUUUUCGAAAUUUCAAAGUUAAUGUAAAUAAAAACCAUGAGGCUUUUUUAUGCUGUUCUGGAGAAAUUCA
rnacentral:lncRNA from 1 species